rnacentral:rRNA from 1 species
CGAAAGCCUGACGGAGCAACGCCGCGUGAGGGAGGAAGGCCCUUGGGUUGUAAACCUCUUUUGAUGGGGAAGAAUUCUGACGGUACCCAUCGAAUCAGCAUCGGCUAACUCCGUGCCAGCAGCCGCGGUAAUACGGAGGAUGCAAGCGUUAUCCGGAAUUAUUGGGCGUAAAGCGUCCGCAGGUGGCUUUUCAAGUCGGCUGUCAAAGCAUGGAGCUUAACUCCAUAGAGGCGGUGGAAACUGAAAGGCUAGAGGCCGGUAGGGGUAGUGGGAAUUCCCAGUGUAGCGGUGAAAUGCGUAGAGAUUGGGAAGAACAUCGGUGGCGAAAGCGCACUACUGGGCAGGACCUGACACUGAGGGACGAAAGCUAGGGGAGCGAAAGGGAUUAGAUACCCCUGUAGUCCUAGCCGUAAACGAUGGAGACUAGGCGUAGCUUGUAUCGACCCGAGCUGUGCCGAAGCUAACGCGUUAAGUCUCCCGCCUGGGGAGUACGCACGCAAGUGUGAAACUCAAAGGAAUUGACGGGGGCCCGCACAAGCGGUGGAGUAUGUGGUUUAAUUCGAUGCAACGCGAAGAACCUUACCAGGGCUUGACAUCUGUAGAACCUGAGCGAAAGCUUGGGGUGCCUUCGGGAGCUACAAGACAGGUGGUGCAUGGCUGUCGUCAGCUCGUGUCGUGAGAUGUUGGGUUAAGUCCCGCAACGAGCGCAACCCUCGUUCUUAGUUGCCAGCAUUAAGUUGGGCACUCUAGGGAGACUGCCGGUGACAAACCGGAGGAAGGUGGGGAUGACGUCAAGUCAGCAUGCCCCUUACGUCCUGGGCAACACACGUACUACAAUGGUCGAGACAGAGGGCAGCGACCUCGCAAGAGCAAGCGAAUCUCAUCAAACUCGGCCUCAGUUCAGAUUGCAGGCUGCAACUCGCCUGCAUGAAGGAGGAAUCGCUAGUAAUCGCCGGUCAGCAUACGGCGGUGAAUUCGUUCCCGGGCCUUGUACACACCGCCCGUCACACCAUGGGAGCUGGCCACGCCCGAAGUCGUUACCCUAACCCCGAAAGGGGAGGGGGAUGCCGAAGGCAGGGCUAGUGACUGGGGUGAAGUCGUAACAAGGUAGCCGUACCGGAAGGUGUGGCUGGAUCACCUCCUUU